rfam:Pristionchus pacificus strain PS312 contig9138, whole genome shotgun sequence.
UCUUCAUUUCACGUGCUCUCUCAUCAGUCAGAGAGCCGAGAGAGUAUGCGAAAUGAGGAGA